rnacentral:rRNA from 1 species
GUGGGGAAUAUUGGACAAUGGGCGCAAGCCUGAUCCAGCCAUGCCGCGUGAGUGAUGAAGGCCUUAGGGUUGUAAAGCUCUUUUGUCCGGGAAGAUAAUGACUGUACCGGAAGAAUAAGCCCCGGCUAACUUCGUGCCAGCAGCCGCGGUAAUACGAAGGGGGCUAGCGUUGUUCGGAAUCACUGGGCGUAAAGCGCACGUAGGCGGACCAUUAAGUCAGGGGUGAAAGCCUGGAGCUCAACUCCAGAACUGCCUUUGAUACUGAUGGUCUCGAGUUCGGAAGAGGUUGGUGGAACUGCGAGUGUAGAGGUGAAAUUCGUAGAUAUUCGCAAGAACACCAGUGGCGAAGGCGGCCAACUGGUCCGAUACUGACGCUGAGGUGCGAAAGCGUGGGGAGCAAACAGGAUUAGAAACCCGGGUAGUCC